UAUGUUAGCUUGCUAAUAUAUUUAGUAGCAAAUGGGUGAGUAACACGUACCUAACCUACCUUUUGGACCGGGAUAACUAUUGGAAACAGCAGCUAAUACCGGAUAAAAUAAAAAAAUGCAUGUUUUUUUAUUAAAAGGAGCCUUUAAAGCUCCACCAAAAAAUGGGGGUGCGCAACAUUAGUUAGUUGGUAGGGUAAAGGCCUACCAAGACGAUGAUGUUUAGCGGGGCCAAGAGGCUGUACCGCCACACUGGGAUUGAGAUACGGCCCAGACUCCUACGGGAGGCAGCAGUAAGGAAUAUUCCACAAUGAGCGAAAGCUUGAUGGAGCGACACAGAGUGCAGGAUGAAGUCUUUAGGGAUGUAAACUGCUGUUGUAAGGGAAGAAAAAACUAGAUAGGAAAUGAUUUAGUCUUGACGGUACCUUAUUAGAAAGUGACGGCAAACUAUGUGCCAGCAGCCGCGGUAAUACAUAGGUCGCAAGCGUUAUCCGGAAUUAUUGGGCGUAAAGCGUCCGCAGGUUUUUUGUUAAGUUUAAGGUUAAAUGCUAAAGCUCAACUUUAGUUCGCUUUAGAUACUGACAAAAUAGAAUUAUGAAGAGGUUAGCGGAAUUCCUAGUGGAGCGGUGGAAUGCGUAGAUAUUAGGAAGAACACCAAUAGGCGAAGGCAGCUAACUGGUCAUAUAUUGACACUAAUGGACGAAAGCGUGGGGAGCAAACAGGAUUAGAUACCCUGGUAGUCCACGCCGUAAACGAUGAUCAUUAGUUGGUGGCAAAAGUCACUAGCACAGCUAACGCGUUAAAUGAUCCGCCUGAGUAGUAUGCUCGCAAGAGUGAAACUUAAAGGAAUUGACGGGAACCCGCACAAGCGGUGGAGCAUGUGGUUUAAUUUGAAGAUACGCGUAGAACCUUACCCACUCUU
rnacentral:rRNA from 1 species